ensembl:lincRNA
UUUCUUUUGUUUUUUUUAUCUCAGUUAAAUGGCUGAGUUUUUCAGAUCUUGUAAUGUAUGUUACAGCAUUUUCUUCUCUUUAAAUGUGAAGACAUGCUUAGCAAUUUGUUCCCUAAAAUUGGUUGUCUUUGUGAUACAUUUUCAUCUUUCAGUGAAUACAACCAAGUCCAUCAGAACAGAGAGGAUAUUCUGAACAAGAUCCAAGAAAUAAACAGCGAGACUCAACAAUUAAAGGCUAAAAUGGACUAUUUGAAGGGAUGUUGUGAGCAAGAGACUGACAAAGCACAGGCCAUGUAUGACCAUCUGGUGACAGCGCUGGAUAAUUUACACACCCGCAUCAUGGACCACGUUGCAGAGAAAAAGGGAGAAAUGGAGAAAAUGAAAGCAUGUUUUUAAAAAUGUUAUCCUUAAAAAGCUUUGUAUCUAAGCUGUACAGUAAAGUUAUAAAUGCUUCUGGUCAUCAGAGGUAUUUUUUUAUUUUUUAUUUUAGCAUAUUUUAGUUUUUGCUUAACGUUGGAAAUGUUUGGACCAGAAAUAGUUAUUAGUUUUAAUUACAGUAAAAAUUAAACCUUUAUCAGACCUUGACCUUUAUCAGAGGGCUUUUAUAAGAUCCUUGUGAUCUUUUUCAGUGCAUGGGUUUAAGGAACUCAAGACUUUGUUUCCAUUCCAUUUCAAUAUGAGACUUUUAAGAAAAUGAAAAGGUAUUUGCAAAUAAUGUUUCUGUUUUUUACUUUGAAAAUAAGUAGCUUAACUUGUAAAGACUCUUGUCUGCUGACAUUUACAAUUCAGUUUCUCUGUGUCUGUAAAAGCUAUUGUCUUGAAAAAUGGCUGGUAUCUAUCUGUAGAUAAAUAUAUCGUUACAUGAAAACUGAAC